rnacentral:rRNA from 1 species
UGGGGGACAACGUUUCGAAAGGAACGCUAAUACCGCAUACGUCCUACGGGAGAAAGCAGGGACCUUCGGGCCUUGCGCUAUCAGAUGAGCCUAGGUCGGAUUAGCUAGUUGGUGAGGUAAUGGCUCACCAAGGCGACGAUCCGUAACUGGUCUGAGAGGAUGAUCAGUCACACUGGAACUGAGACACGGUCCAGACUCCUACGGGAGGCAGCAGGC